AUGGAGGCAUGGAGGGGGUGGUCGGCUGUGUGCUUUGUGUUAGUACAAAACAGCCUACUCUUUUCUGCUUGCUGGCUUUCUGCUGACUACUUGACCAACUUGCUUGGUGAUAUACUGCUAUCAUACUAUAUUAAUUUCUUCGGCUUCGAGCUCGACUUCCGUGCGCUGCAGGUGGAGGAGUUUGCGGCGGCGGAGAAGGCGUCGGCCGGCGGGGUGAGGGUGAUGCUCAUGGACACGACGGAGGCGACGAUCCUGCGUGCUGACGCGCAUCCCAGCAAGUACCGGGCCUGGACGCCCGACCCGCUCAUGAAAAACCAGCUGUACAGCGACUGCGUGCACUGGUGCCUUCCGGGGGCCAUUGAUACAUGGAAUGACAUGCUGCUUCAUAUGCUACUCCACGAGUGA
rnacentral:rRNA from 1 species